rnacentral:rRNA from 1 species
GACGAACGCUGGCGGCGUGCCUAAUACAUGCAAGUAGAACGCUGAAGGAGGAGCUUGCUCUUCUGGAUGAGUUGCGAACGGGUGAGUAACGCGUAGGUAACCUGCCUGGUAGCGGGGGAUAACUAUUGGAAACGAUAGCUAAUACCGCAUAACAGUAGAUGUUGCAUGACAUUUGCUUAAAAGGUGCAAUUGCAUCACUACCAGAUGGACCUGCGUUGUAUUAGCUAGUUGGUGGGGUAACGGCUCACCAAGGCGACGAUACAUAGCCGACCUGAGAGGGGGAUCGGCCACACUUGGACUGAGACACGGCCCAGACUCCUACGGGAGGCAGCAGUAGGGAAUCUUCGGCAAUGGACGGAAGUCUGACCGAGCAACGCCGCGUGAGUGAAGAAGGUUUUCGGAUCGUAAAGCUCUGUUGUAAGAGAAGAACGAGUGUGAGAGUUGAAAGUUCACACUGUGACGGUAUCUUACCAGAAAGGGACGGCUAACUACGUG